UCCGAGUUGACCCCGGCAGUCUUCUACGAGUCCCCGGCAUAAUCCGCUGGCAACAUAGAAUAAGGGUUGCGCUCGUUGCGGGACUUAACCCAACAUCUCACGACACGAGCUGACGACAGCCAUGCAGCACCUGUGUGUAGGCCCCGUAAGGGGAGGAAUCCAUCUCUGGAAACCGUCCUACCAUGUCAAACGCUGGUAAGGUUCUGCGCGUUGCUUCGAAUUAAACCACAUCCUCCACCGCUUGUGUGAGCCCCCGUCAAUUCCUUUGAGUUUCAAUCUUGCGAUCGUACUCCCCAGGUGGAUUACUUAACACUUUUGCUUGGACGCUGACAGUAUAUCGCCAACAUCUAGUAAUCAUCGUUUACAGCGUGGACUAC
rnacentral:misc_RNA from 1 species